rnacentral:rRNA from 1 species
CCUACGGGAGGCUGCAGUGGGGAAUAUUGGACAAUGGGCGAAAGCCUGAUCCAGCCAUGCCGCGUGUGUGAAGAAGGCCUUCGGGUUGUAAAGCACUUUCAGUGGGGAAGAAAGCCUUGGGGCUAAUACCCUCGAGGAAGGACAUCACCCACAGAAGAAGCACCGGCUAACUCCGUGCCAGCAGCCGCGGUAAUACGGAGGGUGCGAGCGUUAAUCGGAAUUACUGGGCGUAAAGCGCGCGUAGGCGGUCUGAUAAGCCGGUUGUGAAAGCCCCGGGCUCAACCUGGGAACGGCAUCCGGAACUGGCAGGCUAGAGUGCAGGAGAGGAAGGUAGAAUUCCCGGUGUAGCAGUGAAAUGCGUAGAGAUCGGGAGGAAUACCAGUGGCGAAGGCGGCCUUCUGGACUGACACUGACGCUGAGGUGCGAAAGCGUGGGUAGCAAACAGGAUUAGAUACCCGUGUAGUC